rnacentral:rRNA from 1 species
GACAGAGGUCCCGAGCGUUAGGCGGAAUCACUGGGCUUAAAGCGUGUGUAGGCGGAUUUGUAAGUACCUUGUGAAAUCCCACAGCUUAACUGUGGAACUGCUUGGUAUACUGCUUAUCUUGGGCCACUUAGGGGUUACCGGAACAAACGGUGGAGCGGUGAAAUGCGUAGAUAUCAUUUGGAACGCCAAUGGUGAAAACAGCUCGCUGGGGGGUUUGCUGACGCUGAGACACGAAAGCCAGGGGAGCAAACGGG